CUCCGUCUCCCGCCCCCACUCCCUCGGCCCCCACCCCCUCCCCGCCAUCUCCCGUUGGCCCAUCCCCGUCGAACAUCUCCCCUCCCGCCCCCACGGGUCCGUCCUCCCAGCCCACCCCACCCCCCAACGGCGGUGGCAGCUUCGUCCCCGGCCUCCGCGCCUCCUGGAUGAUAUCCGCCGCCGUCACCGCGGCAUCCGUCGCCGUCGCCUUCUAGAUCGGAUCUCUCACCGCCGCGGAUUAUUGAUCGGAUGGUCAUCGGACGGUCGUCGUCGUCGCUCUUUUUUCCUGACCUGAUAUGUGUUUUAUUGUCCCGCCAUUGUUGUCGUUUUUAUUGUCAUCUUUUUUAUUUAUUUCUCUCUUUUCUUUGGAUUUUUUUUUCUGUACAUGGGAGAGUGAGGCAGUGAGUGAGAGAUUGAGGUUUUAGAGCUGUCAUGGUGGUGAUUAUUGUUGUAAUAAUAUUAUUGUUUUAGUGAUUCUUUUUUCUAUUUUACUCUUUAUCUCUUCAGCUCUUUUCCUAAUUCUUUGCUAAGGUUUGUGAGGGCAAAACGGGAAAUUGGAUGACGCGGAAAUUGGAGCGGGACGAAAGUGGCCAACUUUAGUCAGGAAGGGACGAGAAGCGACGUCACGUGAACCGUGUGCCAGCUGUAUGGCAAAACGGCUCCAAGGCCAUGUGCGUGGGGCUUGGGAUCACGUGAGGUGGGGUUCUCGAUAGUGGACCUGGAGAGGGACAUAAAGAGACGGAUUUGGGUGGUGGAAGGCAAUUGGGUGCACGUGUCGGUCGAUGGAGAUAUGGUGGUAUACGGCGGCAGGAAGUGACGGUGGCAAUUUGUUGUUGAGGAGAAAGAGAAGAAAAUUAGGGUUCGGUGGGAAGGGGAGACGAGGGAGUGAUGAUAUUUUGAGGGGAAAGCGAAAGGAAUGUUAGGUCGGACUGAACAAUGGAGCCUUCAUUUUUUGUUUCAUGUUCAAAGAAUUUGUGCUUGGCCAGGCUUGGCAUUUCGAAAUUUGCUGUUUUCAGAAGUUCUAAUCUUUUUGAAUAUAUCCAUAUCCAUAUUAGAACUGUAUAAAUUAUUUACUUUUAUA